rnacentral:ncRNA from 1 species
AUGCUGGAGGUAUCAGAAGUGCGAAUGCUGACGUGAGUAACGACAAAACGGGUGAAAAACCCGUUCGCUGAAAGACCAAGGGUUCCAGUCCAACGUUAAUCGGGGCUGGGUGAGUCGACCCCUAAGGCGAGGCCGAGAGGCGUAGUCGAUGGGAAAUUGGUUAAUAUUCCAAUACUUCUGUGUAAUGCGAUGAGAGGACGGAGAAGGUUAAGUCAGCCUGGCGUUGGUUGUCCAGGUGGAAGACCGUAGGCAUGCAUCUUAGGCAAAUCCGGGGUGCUCUAUGCUGAGAGUCGAUAGCAAGCUGUACUUGUACAGUGAAGUGGCUGAUACCAUGCUUCCAGGAAAAGUCUCUAAGCUUCAGUUACACAGGAAUCGUACCCGAAACCGACACAGGUGGUCAGGUCGAGUAGACCAAAGCGCUUGAGAGAACUCUGCUGAAGGAACUAGGCAAAAUGGUACCGUAACUUCGGGAGAAGGUACGCUGCUGACGGUGAUGGGACUUGCUCCCUGAGCGGUUGGCAGCCGCAGAAACCAGGCCGCUGCAACUGUUUAUUAAAAACAUAGCACUCUGCAAACACGAAAGUGGACGUAUAGGGUGUGAUGCCUGCCCGGUGCUGGAAGGUUAAUUGAUGGGGUUAGCGUAAGCGAAGCUCUUGAUCGAAGCCCCAGUAAACGGCGGCCGUAACUAUAACGGUCCUAAGGUAGCGAAAUUCCUUGUCGGGUAAGUUCCGACCUGCACGNUAAACGGCGGCCGUAACUAUAACGGUCCUAAGGUAGCGAAAUUCCUUGUCGGGUAAGUUCCGACCUGCACGAAUGGCAUAAUGAUGGCGGCGCUGUCUCCAGCAGAGGCUCAGUGAAAUCGAAAUCGCUGUGAAGAUGCAGUGUACCCGCGGCUAGACGGAAAGACCCCGUGAACCUUUACUGCAGCUUGACAUUGAACUUUGACCUUACUUGUGUAGGAUAGGUGGGAGGCUUUGAAGUUGGAACGCUAGUUCCAAUGGAGCCGUCCUUGAAAUACCACCCUGGUAAUGUUGAGGUUCUAACUCUGUCCCGUAAUCCGGGACGAGGACCAUGUCUGGUGGGUAGUUUGACUGGGGCGGUCUCCUCCUAAAGAGUAACGGAGGAGUACGAAGGUGCGCUCAGCGUGGUCGGAAAUCACGCGUAGAGUAUAAAGGCAAAAGCGCGCUUAACUGCGAGACCCACAAGUCGAGCAGGUACGAAAGUAGGUCUUAGUGAUCCGGUGGUUCUGUAUGGAAGGGCCAUCGCUCAACGGAUAAAAGGUACUCUGGGGAUAACAGGCUGA